rnacentral:misc_RNA from 1 species
CUGAGUUUUUGUACUCUAUAAACCAUGUGUGAACGUAAACUAUCUUGUGAAGAGAUGAACAAAAGCUGCCUUGGUAGUUGGGGGGCCCCUUCUAUAAGGUUUUCCACUACCAGCAGUAUAAGUAAUCUUCUUCACCACUAAAAACCUCUUUUAUUUUUUGUUAGAAAUUUGAUUUCAUUGCUGAGUGGCAUAAACUAUAAAAAGUUA